rnacentral:rRNA from 1 species
UACGGGGGGGGCAAGCGUUGUUCGGAAUUACUGGGCGUAAAGGGCUCGUAGGCGGCCAACUAAGUCGGACGUGAAAUCCCCAGGCUCAACCUGGGAACUGCGUCCGAUACUGGAUGGCUUGAAUUCGGGAGAGGGAUGCAGAAUUCCAGGUGUAGCGGUGAAAUGCGUAGAUAUCUGGAGGAAUACCGGUGGCGAAGGCGGCAUCCUGGACCGACAUUGACGCUGAGGAGCGAAAGCCAGGGGAGCAAACGGG